AAUCAACGCUGGCGGCGUGCCUAACACAUGCAAGUCGAACGCGAAAGUCCCGCAAGGGAUGAGUAGAGUGGCAAACGGGUGAGUAACGCGUGGGUGACCUGCCUUCGAGCGGGGGAUAACGCUCCGAAAGGGACGCUAAUACCGCACAACAUCCCGCCUUUGAACAGGCGGAAAUCAAAGCUGGGGAUCGCAAGACCCAGCACUUGAAGAGGGGCCCGCGUCUGAUUAGCUAGUUGGUGAGGUAACGGCUCACCAAGGCGACGAUCAGUAUCCGGCCUGAGGAGGGCGGACGGACACACUGGGACUGAGACACGGCCCAGACUCCUACGGGAGGCAGCAGUGGGGAAUUGUUCGCAAUGGGCGCAAGCCUGACGACGCAACGCCGCGUGGAGGAUGAAGACCUUC
rnacentral:rRNA from 1 species